AUUAUACUCCCUCCGUCCGAAAAUACUUGUCAUCAAAAUGGACAAAAAGGGAUGUAUCUAAAACUAAAAUACAUCUAGAUACAGCCCUUUUAUCCAUUUUGAUGACAAGUAUUUCCGGACGGAGGGAGUAUAUA
rnacentral:pre_miRNA from 1 species